CUCUUUUAUGGUAGUCGGAUUCUUCUCGUACAAGAAAGCAUCAAUCAAUCCUUGUUAGAUGAGCACAUCUUUCACCCUUGCUUGCCAUAAGAAGAAAUUACUCUUUCCAUCAUAUCGAUUGAUCUCCAUCUUGAUUGAGCCUAUUUUUUUUAUCUUCUUCAACCUUAAUCAACACCGUCACAACCUGAACAACUAUGUGCUCUGAUACCACUUAUUAUGAAGGAUCCCUG
rnacentral:lncRNA from 1 species